UACGUAGGGUGCGAGCGUUAAUCGGAAUUACUGGGCGUAAAGCGUGCGCAGGCGGUUCGCUAAGACAGAUGUGAAAUCCCCGGGCUCAACCUGGGAACUGCAUUUGUGACUGCAUGGCUAGAGUACGGUAGAGGGGGAUGGAAUUCCGCGUGUAGCAGUGAAAUGCGUAGAUAUGCGGAGGAACACCGAUGGCGAAGGCAAUCCCCUGGACCUGUACUGACGCUCAUGCACGAAAGCGUGGGGAGCAAACAGG
rnacentral:rRNA from 1 species